UACGAAGGGGGCUAGCGUUGCUCGGAAUGACUGGGCGUAAAGGGCGCGUAGGCGGCUUGCACCGUCAGAUGUGAAAUUCCUGGGCUUAACCUGGGGGCUGCAUUUGAUACGUGUGGGCUUGAGUGCGGAAGAGGGUCGUGGAAUUCCGCGUGUAGCAGUGAAAUGCGUAGAUAUGCGGAGGAACACCGAUGGCGAAGGCAGGUCUCUGGGCCACUACUGACGCUGAGAAGCGAAAGCAUGGGGAGCGAACAGG
rnacentral:rRNA from 1 species